rnacentral:rRNA from 1 species
GUGUAACAACUCACCUGCCGAAUGAACUAGCCCUGAAAAUGGAUGGCGCUGAAGCGGGUCACUUAUACUCGACCGUUAAGGCAAGAGCUAAGCCUUAACGAGUAGGAGGGCGUCACGGUUGUUGUGCAGCUUGCGGCGUAAGCCGGAGUGAAACGGCCGUCAGUGCAGAUCUUGGUGGUAGUAGCAAAUAUUCAAAUGAGA